CAGUCGCCGCGGUAAAACGAAGGGGGCUAGCGUUGUUCGGAAUUACUGGGCGUAAAGCGCACGUAGGCGGAUCGAUCAGUCAGGGGUGAAAUCCCAGGGCUCAACCCUGGAACUGCCUUUGAUACUGUCGAUCUGGAGUAUGGAAGAGGUGAGUGGAAUUCCGAGUGUAGAGGUGAAAUUCGUAGAUAUUCGGAGGAACACCAGUGGCGAAGGCGGCUCACUGGUCCAUUACUGACGCUGAGGUGCGAAAGCGUGGGGAGCAAACAGGAUUAGAUACCCCCGUAGUCCCUGUCUCUUAUAC
rnacentral:rRNA from 1 species